AUUGAACGCUGGCGGCAUGCCUUACACAUGCAAGUCGAACGGCAGCACGGGUGCUUGCACCUGGUGGCGAGUGGCGAACGGGUGAGUAAUACAUCGGAACAUGUCCAGUAGUGGGGGAUAGCCCGGCGAAAGCCGGAUUAAUACCGCAUACGAUCUUUGGAUGAAAGCGGGGGAUCGCAAGACCUCGCGCUAUUGGGGUGGCCGAUGGCGGAUUAGCUAGUUGGUGGGGUAAAGGCCUACCAAGGCGACGAUCCGUAGCUGGUCUGAGAGGACGACCAGCCACACUGGGACUGAGACACGGCCCAGACUCCUACGGGAGGCAGCAGUGGGGAAUUUUGGACAAUGGGCGAAAGCCUGAUCCAGCAAUGCCGCGUGUGUGAAGAAGGCCUUCGGGUUGUAAAGCACUUUUGUCCGGAAAGAAAUCCUGUGGGCUAAUAUCCCGCGGGGAUGACGGUACCGGAAGAAUAAGCACCGGCUAACUACGUGCCAGCCGCCGCCGUAACAC
rnacentral:rRNA from 1 species